rnacentral:rRNA from 1 species
GACGAACGCUGGCGGCGUGCCUAAUACAUGCAAGUCGAACGAGAGCGACCGGUGCUUGCACUGGUCAAUCUAGUGGCGAACGGGUGAGUAACACGUGGGUAACCUGCCCAUCAGAGGGGGAUAACAUCCGGAAACGGAUGCUAAAACCGCAUAGGUCUUCGAACCGCAUGGUUUGAAGAGGAAAAGAGGCGCAAGCUUCUGCUGAUGGAUGGACCCGCGGUGCAUUAGCUAGUUGGUGAGGUAACGGCUCACCAAGGCCGUGAUGCAUAGCCGACCUGAGAGGGUGGUCGGCCACAUUGGGACUGAGACACGGCCCAAACUCCUACGGGAGGCAGCAGUAGGGAAUCUUCCGCAAAGGACGCAAGUCUGACGGAGCAACGCCGCGUGAGUGAAGAAGGUUUUCGGAUCGUAAAACUCUGUUGUUAGAGAAGAACAAGUGCUAGAGUAACUGUUAGCGCCUUGACGGUAUCUAACCAGAAAGCCACGGCUAACUACGUG